CAGUCCGGUCGUUGCGCGUCUCCUGAGCAGACAUCAGACCGUCGCCUCGGUUCUCCGGUGUUUAUUCGUGAGAAGCGGCUCAUGAUGCGAGGUUUAUCCGUUCUUCAGCUGCUGCUCGUGACGCUGAGCGCGAGAGAAGCGCGAGAGAUCGGUGGCGGGAGUUUCCUGGAAGACGAGCAGCAGUGGCUCUCAGCGGUCCACCGCUACAGCCGCACCGUCAAACACUGGAACCGCUUCAGAGACGAAGUGGAGGAUGACUACAUCCGUACACUGGAAGGUCCACAGGCUUCGGAUGAAAGU